GUUCUGUUUUUCGUAUAAUUUUGUUUGUAUACAUUAUGGGUAAGACGGGGCCCUGUCCCAUCACUUAUGCACGGUCAUACUCUUCUAGUACGGCUGCCCGAAGGGGCCACCCUAGCUAAGCCGGAAGCGGCUGCCCGAAGGGGCCAUCAUGACUACGCCGGAAGCGGCCGUCCGAAGGGACUAUUGUGUUAUUAGCCGGAAGCGGCUACGAGUAGGAUAUUCUAUAUUUAUAUUGUGUAUGCUAGAAUUUGUGUAAGGGACCAUAUGACAUGGUUCAAAGUGCUGUUCCAGGUUACUCCCAGGUUGCUUUCUAAACUUGCUUACUGUUACGCUUUUCCUUGUUUUAUGAUUCAAUAUUGCCUUACAUAUUCAGUACAUAUUCCGUACUGACCCCCUUUCUUCGGGGGCUGCGUUUCAUGCCCGCAGGUUCAGGGAUGCGGUUAGACGAUCCAGCCACCUAGGAGGAGUCAGCAUUGAGAGUCAGACAGCUCCACUUGCUUCGAGACUAUUCUCGUUUUGGUAUAAUUUUGUUUGUAUACAUUAUGGGUACGACGGGGCCCUGUCCCAUCACUUAUGCACUGUCGUACUCUUCUAGUACGGCUGCCCGAAGGGGCCACCCUAGCUAAGCCGGAAGCGGCUGCCCGAAGGGGCCAUCAUGACUACGCCGGAAGCGGCCGUCCGAAGGGACUAUUGUGUUAUUAGCCGGAAGCGGCUACGAGUAGGAUAUUCUAUAUUUAUAUUGUGUAUGCUAGAAUUUGUGUAAGGGACCAUAUGACAUGGUUCAAAGUGUUGUUCCAGUUACUCCCGGGUUGCUUUCUA